rnacentral:rRNA from 1 species
GAUGAACGCUGGCGGCGUGCCUAACACAUGCAAGUCGAGCGAUUUACUUCGGUAAAGAGCGGCGGACGGGUGAGUAACGCGUGGGUAACCUGCCCUGUACACACGGAUAACAUACCGAAAGGUAUGCUAAUACGAGAUAAUAUGCUUUUAUCGCAUGGUAGAAGCAUCAAAGCUUUUGCGGUACAGGAAGGACCCGCGUCUGAUUAGCUAGUUGGUAAGGUAACGGCUUACCAAGGCGACGAUCAGUAGCCGACCUGAGAGGGUGAUCGGCCACAUUGGAACUGAGACACGGUCCAAACGCCGACGGGAGGCAGCAGUGGGGAAUAUUGCACAAUGGGCGAAAGCCUGAUGCAGCAACGCCGCGUGAGCGAUGAAGGCCUUCGGGUCGUAAAGCUCUGUCCUCAAGGAAGAUAAUGACGGUACUUGAGGAGGAAGCCCCGGCUAACUACGUGCCAGCAGCCGCAGUAACAC